UCUCAGUCUGACCCUGAAAAAGCCCAAAGAGAGAGACAGCGGAGAAUACAGCUGUGUGCUCAUCAGCCAGAAGGUCUGGAGAAAGAAAACUGUGCUGCUCACAGUCAAAGGGAGAGCUCAGGUCCAGGAUCAAACAGGGAUCAUCAGGAACAGAAGCAGCUCCAUUGAUCCGACUCCUCUGAUGGCUGAUCAAUCAGUUUGAUCUGUUUGUUCUUUGAUUAUUGAUCAGUGAUGUCAGAGUGGA